GCCGAGGUGGUGGAACUGGUAGACACGCAGCGUUGAGGGCGCUGUGCUCAUCACGGGCGUAGGAGUUCGAGUCUCCUCCUCGGCACCA
rnacentral:tRNA from 1 species